GCGGGGACGGCGCGCGCGCCCGCCGCCGCCGCCGGCCCGCCGCCGCACUACGUCGGCAUCUGCCUGCCCCGCGACCUGCAGGCGCUGUUCCCGAGUGAAUUACAUGAUGUCGAUGUGGAUGAGAAAGACCCUCUGAAAGUGAACAAAUCCUCGACAUUACUGACCGACACGAGCAUCGCUAGCACUGAAAAGCCACGGUUAAGUAAAUGUCUCGAAGUGGACGUGUCGAGCUCGACCGACGUCAGCUCACGAAUAUCCAGCAGAACGCUAACCGACAAAAACAAAGAAGCUAACCAGAAGGAAAACGAGAAGACCAUCGAACGGCAAAGCAGUGUCGAACGCAGCGUCCAC